rnacentral:misc_RNA from 1 species
AGAAGUAAAAGUCGUAACAAGGUUUCCGUAGGUGAACCUGCGGAAGGAUCAUUACUGAGUGAGGGCCCCUCGGAGUCCAACCUCCCACCCGUGUUUAACGAACCUUGUUGCUUCGGCGGGCCCGCCUCACGGCCGCCGGGGGGCAUCUGCCCCCGGGCCCGCGCCCGCCGAAGCCACCUGUGAACGCUGUCUGAAGUAUGCAGUCUGAGACAAUUAUUAAAUUAAUUAAAACUUUCAACAACGGAUCUCUUGGUUCCG